rnacentral:misc_RNA from 1 species
AACGCACCUUGCGCUCCUUGGUAUUCCGAGGAGCAUGCCUGUUUGAGUGUCGUGAAAUUCUCAACCUUUCUGACUUUUACAAGUCGGUUAGGCUUGGAUUAUGGAAGUUGCUGGCUUCUCAGAAAUCAGCUCUUCUCAAAUGUAUUAGCAAAGUCUUUGCUGGCCAUCUCUGGUAUGAUAAUUAUCUAUACCACGGAUGAUCGGCUUUCCGUAAUUGGAAGGGUUUUGCUUAUAAUCGUCUGUACAGACAACUUGACAAUUUGACCUCAAAUCAGGUAGGACUACCCGCUGAACUUAA